GGCGCAGACUGGGCCUGAGGCCUGACGGGGAGGAGAGAAGGGCGUGGCCCGAGGCAGUGGGGCGGGGCCUGAAGGGGUCUUUUCUUGUUGCCCUAAGCACAUGGCACGGGAAAGGAGUUCUGCCAUGUGUCACGGGUUAGAAUGUGUUAUGUUGGAGUCCCCCGAUGCUGCUUUUCUGAACUCGAACCACUGCUGCAGCCCUUACAGCUGAGCCUGGCCCAUGUAGGUUUCUGCUUCUGGCUGACAUCUGAGUAUCAGUUGCUGAUUACAGGCUGUUCUAAGUAGACUGCGAGCCCUGGACUUGCUGUGGAUGUAAACCAGUCCAGCUGAUGUGGACACCCCCUGUCUCUGCAACAGUGUCUUCUAACCAGAAGCCCCUGAUAAAUUCCCCAUUGCCUAAAUUCCUUUUUGCUUUUGACUAGCAUUUCAACCUUCUGGGGUCCCUAACUUCGUCCCAAAGUCAGCAGGAAGCAGUUUGGAAAAGAAUUUCGCCGUCCAUUUUCCCUGGUUAAAAUGCUAAGUCAAAGGGAACUCCCUUGCAUGGGGAUGCCAGUAUCUAUCACUCCCUGAUGGGGAUGCUAGAGAGACAGCAAUUCCAUGAUUGGAAUUUACAAAAAAGAAAAUGGGGGAAUGAAGGAACCGGCUUCCCUUUUGGCAGCCAUUACAGCCGAACACGUGCUUGCCAUAAACCUGCCUUGGUCACGUAGAGGUCAGAUGCCUGUCUCGUGACAAGGAACCUUAGUCACUUAGAGGUCAGAUGCCUGUCUUGUGACAAGGAACCAAUCGGAAGUUAGCUGGUGGCGCUAUGCUUUACGACCCUGGGUGUGCUUUACGGACAAGCGCACAGCAAUGACGUAGAGAGCAUAGCAACCGCCCUGGGAGGGCCUAUGAGCCAUAACAACCAGUUGACCAAUCAACACAGGGCAAGCCCUCCAAGCCUGGAAGCACACCAAUCCUGAUCCUGUGCGUACCCCUAGACACUCCCC
rnacentral:lncRNA from 1 species